CCUGGUAGCUCAGUUGGUAAAGAAUCUGCCUGCAAUGCAGGAGACCCUGGUUCGAUUCCUGGGUCAGGA
rfam:TPA: Bos taurus chromosome 21, whole genome shotgun sequence.